CUCAGAUUGAACGCUGGCGGCAGGCCUAACACAUGCAAGUCGAGCGGUAGAGAGGUGCUUGCAUCUCUUGAGAGCGGCGGACGGGUGAGUAAUGCCUAGGAAUCUGCCUAGUGGUGGGGGAUAACGUUCGGAAACGGACGCUAAUACCGCAUACGUCCUACGGGAGAAANCGGGGGGAUCUUCGGACCUCGCGCCAUUAGAUGAGCCUAGGUCGGAUUAGCUAGUUGGUGAGGUAAUGGCUCACCAAGGCGACGAUCCGUAACUGGUCUGAGAGGAUGAUCAGUCACACUGGAACUGAGACACGGUCCAGACUCCUACGGGAGGCAGUAGUGGGGAAUAUUGGACAAUGGGCGAAAGCCUGAUCCAGCCAUGCCGCGUGUGUGAAGAAGGUCUUCGGAUUGUAAAGCACUUUAAGUUGGGAGGAAGGGUAGUAACCUAAUACGUUGCUACUUUGACGUUACCGACAGAAUAAGCACCGGCUAACUUCGUG
rnacentral:rRNA from 1 species